GGGCGGUUAGCUCAGCUGGUAGAGCGCCUGCCUUACAAGCAGGAGGUCGCCGGUUCGAGUCCGGCGCCGCCCA
rnacentral:tRNA from 1 species